UCAGAUUUUAUCGGAUUUUAUUGGAUUUCAUUGGAUUUUAUGCACUUCAUGGAUCACUGGGAAAAUAGAUGUACACUGGAUUAGAAGACUUCAAGAUUUCAAGAUUGCAUCGAACUUUAUUAGGCUACAUGGAAUCUCACCAGCUUUAUUGGACUUUAUCCGAGUAUCAUGGACUUUGUCGAACUGUGUUGGAUUUCAUCGGACUUUACUGGAUUUUAUGGACUACGCAGGACUUUAUUGGAUUUUAGCACAUUUCAUCGGACUUUGUGAACUUCAUGGACAGUCAUGGACUUCAUCGGACUACGUCAGAUUUUAUCGGAUUUUAUUGGAUUUUAAUGGAUUUCACGCACUUCAUGGAUUACUGGGAAAAUAGAUGUAUACUGGACUAGAAGACUUUAAGAUUUCAAGAUUGCAUCGAACUUUAUUAGACUACACGGAAUGUCACGAGCUUCAUUGGACUUUGUCGGAGUAUCAUGGACUUCGUCGAACUUUGUUGCAUUUCACCGAACUUUGCCGGACUUUAUGGACUACGCAGGACUUUAUCGGAUUUUACCAGACUUUAUCGGACUUUGUAGAAUUCAUGGACAAUCAUGGACUUCGUCGGACUACGUCAGAUUUUAUCGAAUUUUAUUGAAUUUCAUUGGAUUUCACGCACUUCAUGGAUUACUGGAAAAAUAGACGUACACUGGACUACAAGAUUUCAAGAUUUCAAGAUUGCACCUGAUUUUAUUUGACACGGAAUGUCAUGGACUUCAUCGGACUUUGUUGGGGUAUCAUGGACUUUGUCGGACUUUGUUGGAUUGCACCAUACUUUACACACUUUACGAACCACUAGGAAAAUAGGUGUAUACCGAACCAUAAGACUUCAAGAUUUCUGAUUUCAAGAUUUCACCGGAUUUUACCAGACUACAUGGACUGUCAUGGAUUAUACAAACUGUCAUGGAUUUUAUCGGACUACGUCGGACUUUGUCGGAUUUUACUGAAUUUCACCGGACUUUACGCACUUUAUGGACCACUGGGAAAUUAGGUAUACACCGAACUACAAGACUUCAAGAUUUCACCGGAUUUCACCAGAUUUUAUGGACUGUCAUGGUUUUCAUUGGACUUCAUCAGUCUUUGUCGGAUUUUACGGACUACGCUGGGUUUUAUUGAACUUAUAAAAAAUAAUAUUUUAUUUAGUUAGUUUUGAAUCUUACAAUUACCUGUAAGAUUUGAAAUGUAUUUAUAAGUACUUUCUAACAUAAAGAAUUGAAUAUUUUACUAGUAUUCAAACUUGAAAUAUUAAUUUGUUAAAUUAAAACGUAUUGUACUGUGUGGUUACUACUGUGUGGUGAUCCACGCUGAACUUUCCAGCAUUUUUACUUUUCAGCAUUUUUACUUUUCAGCAUUUUUAUUUUCAGCACUUUUACUUUUCAGCAUUUUUACUUUCCAGCAUUUCGUUUUCAAGAUACAUUUUAACAUUUAAUUCGGGAUAACCAUUCAGAAGAAAGGUGUACACCGGACUUAUAACUUCAAGACUUUAUCGCACUCUACGGAUUGUCAUGGACUUCGAUGGACCUUAUCGAGUUUCACCGGAUUUUACCGAAUUUUAUCGGACUUCGUAGACUUCAUGGAUUUCACGGAUUGUCAUUGGACUACGUCGAACUUUAUCUGACAACGAAAUAUACCGUUUAAUAUUUUAAUAUUGAAUUAUAAUUUUAUUUGUUUUCAUAUUAGGUAGCACGACACUUUUUGUUCAAGUAUUGUGCUGCCUAAUAUGCUGGUUCAUAUUAAAAAAUUUUUUUAAAUAUGCAAUCGCCAGAAUUAUUUUUAAUAAUGAUUGUGUAGAGAUCCAGCAACAGUUCUUGCUAGAUCUGUAUCAGAACUAGCAAGAACUGUUACUGGAACUGUGAUAGUAGGAAACAUGAUAUGUUUUUUCCAAGUAUCGAUAUGUUUAAUAUUUUAGUGUAAAAAAAAAUGUUAAUUGUAUGAAUUUUGUUUGCAAUCAGUGAUAGAACUCCAUAAUACUAACUAGUACUUUUGUCAAAUAUAUUAAUAUUUAUUGUUUUCUUGUAUUUUAGAGGAGGAGGUGUCGUGCUAGAUUCACGAAGUUAACACAUUUUUUUUUAUUUUUGGGGUAAAAACUGGGGUAAAAUUUUUUGUUAUUUUUAUAGGAACUUCGAAACUAAAAAAAAAAAAAAAAACGCCACUGGAACUUUAUAUAUAUUUUUCAUAUUAACAGAAUAUUGUGCCAACUCAAAUCCGGAAACGUCAACGUCAUUACAACUCAGCCUCGAGCAUCGUAUUGAUUUACAAGAUCUGACAGGAGGAGGAGGCUUAGGAGAGACAUCUGGCCCCAGCGGAGCAACUUUGGGUAUCACCGCAGCUUCGUGGCUGACAAGUAACUCCGCUCGUUGCGCAUCGGGUCGGUGAGUCCAAAAUAAAUUUUUUUAUUAUAUUUCAAUUUUGUAGAUGUCCUGCGCAGGAUCGAAGCAUGAUAUUAUUGCGUAUUAUUGUAAUCAUAUUUUUGCGAGUGAGUGAAUGAGUGUAACAAAAUCUGAUAAUCUGAAGAAGAGGAAGAAAAAGAAGUCCGGAAGGCAACCUUGAGGUGAGUAAUAUUUUUAACGUGUACAGGAUGUAUAACGUAUCUAGACUAAUUAAUGGAUAUCGUAUGUUACAGAUGUUCCUCGAGGUGGAAGCGACGAGAACAGGUAAAUCAUCGUCGCCGACUUAUAAUAAAGUAAACGAACCGCAGCCGGUUCGUCGCGCGUUUUUUCCGGGAGUGCCGUGUAAAGUAACUGGACUAAUGGACUAGAAAGACUCUUAUAGACUUAAUUAGUCCACGGGCGCAAUUUUAGUACAUUUUACGCGAGUGUUCCGCGAGUGCAACAAGAGGAAAAGACUCGACCUGGAGCUGAGAGGAGGAGGAGGCCUGGGAAAGGCAUCUGGCCCCAGCGGAGCAACCUUGGGGUAAAUAUCAUUCUUUAUUUAUAUACAUUUAAUAAUCUUUUUCUAUUUUAUUCUAU